rnacentral:rRNA from 1 species
UACGUAGGGGGCUAGCGUUGUCCGGAAUCAUUGGGCGUAAAGAGCGUGUAGGCGGUCCGUUAAGUCCGCUGUGAAAGUCUGGGGCUCAACCCUCGAAUGCCGGUGGAUACUGUCGGGCUAGAGUGCGGAAGAGGCGAGUGGAAUUCCUGGUGUAGCGGUGAAAUGCGUAGAUAUCGGGAGGAACACCAGAGGCGAAGGCGGCUUUCUGGCUGCUAACUGACGCUGAGGCGCGAAGGCUGGGGUAGCGAACAGA